AUCCGAUAUCCGAAAAUUACUUUUUUUUACCCAGAUUUAAAGUUCAAAUAUUAUCCAUAUGCCCAACAGCCCAAGCCCAACAAAAUCUCAACUUACCCUAAUUUCAAAUCCACCUCUUUCCUCUUUCUUUUCUCCCUAUCAGUUAGUCUUCUCAGUUUCUCACUCCUCUCUUAGUCUUGUCUGAGUUCUUUCUUGAUCUCUCUUAGUCUCCUCUCUACUCCUUCUCAGUGCCUCACUCAUCCACCAGAAGCAGCGGCGCCUCACUCAUCCAGGCCACCAGAAGCAGCGGCGCCCCUCACUCCUUCACCAGAAGCGACGACGCCCCUCACUCCUUCACCAGAAGCGGCGCCCCUCACUCCUCCACCAAGAUGGAUGAUGCUACUGUAGAAUCUGCUAACGUAGCAAAUCAACCAACUGAAGAGGAGCCCUUGGCGUCAACUGCUGCCAAUGAGGAGCAUGCUGGAAUUGAAAAACCACCACAGCCACCAAAAAAAAGGCCUUCAACCACUACUAGUGAUGCUGAUGGAGCUGAAAAAAAAAGAGUUGUCGUCUCUUGUUGAUCCGCCUUCGGUUUCCGUCAUUGAUGAUUACUUUUAGUAUUAGAAGAGUUGUUGACUUGCCGUAUGCUCAUACUUUGUUGAUCCGCUAUCGGUUUCCGAUGUUGAUGACUUAUUUUUUAGUAUAAGAUAAAAUGCAUGUAUUGACUAUUGACGUAUUGUUAACUAUUUGGAAAUUAAUGUAUUUGGACUUUAAAUUUUCUUUGUCAUAUAAUUUGUACUUUUGUAGCACUUAUCCAAUUAGUUUGCAUUUUGGCAAAUUGGCAGCCAUGGCAGGUUA